AAUUGAUCUAGUUAUUUUAGCUGGACCUGGCAACCCUUCUCGUUUGGUACUUGGCUAUUCCCCAGUCGAAUCGAAGCAUGUUGACCCAUUUAAAGAGACUACAUUUCAGUUUUGUCUGCGUGCAGUAGGGACUUUGUCAAGUUAAUGGACAUGACCAAGGCAACUAGAAUUCAGUUCAGUAACAAUAUCAACCAAACUGGGAAAUGUCAAAACGCAGGGAGAGCGCCAUGUCACGGUCAGCGUUAACAAGGGAGCUCUUGGGCCAGUACAUCUCAGACACCCUCAGCCACAUUCACACAGUGAGGGAGUUCUGUGACAGGCAUUCCAAAUGGGCCCUUCAGAGGGAGACAGAACUGGAAAUGAUGAGGGACAUCAAGGAGAGGGCAGACAGAAUUGACCUUAAGUUCGACCAUGUCCGUAACUCAGCGACCAAGGCCAAGGCGUUUGGGGAGUUCGUAUGGAGCGGUCUGACACAGGGGACUGCAGACAGUAGGCGUGAGGAGCUGGAGAAGGAGCUGGGGGCUGUACUAAAGGACACUCUGGGAGGCCUGGAGAAGCUGGAUUACUUCCUGGAUGCUGUGGAGUGUCUGGCGGUCACCUGUCUGUUGGUGUUUGAGGAGAACAGCUUCCUCUGUCUGCCUCAGGGGACGAGCCCUGCCAGUGUUCAGGCUGUCAUCAUUGCUGCCAGAAUCCUGCCCUCUCCUCAUCCACUUUAAGAGGGAUGCUAAGGCCUUCUUUAUGCCCAACCUCCUCAAUGUAGAGGUGCUGGCCCUCCAGCUGGACAGAUACAUACAAAUCAGCCAGCAGCUCUGUAAAAUAAUGGAGAAGGGAUUACAGAUCAGACAACAGCCUGAGAGUAAACUUGGCUCCAUCAGUCAAAUUAUGUUUUGGAAAAAGAGGAAUGACAUCCCUGUGGUCAACCUUGGUGAUGUGAGUGAAGAGUCCAUACAAAAUAUGAUGGACCAUUUGAAUCAGCUGAGUGAGAUCAGGAUGGACCCGCACGUCAUACUAACGUUCCUGUUUCAAGGGGCUGCUCAGCGCUUCAUUUGCCGGUUCAGCCAGCGCCGACCCAGGAUGGAGCAGUUUCUGACCGAUCUGGAGGAGAAUGCUGUGCAGCUGGACAGAAUGAAGCUGGGGGCUAAGAUCUCCAGUGUGGCAGGCAGCUCAGUGGGGGCGGCUGGAGGGAUCCUAUCCAUCGUGGGCUUAGCUCUGACCCCUGUCACUGCUGGGGUGUCACUGGCUCUCACCAUUGCAGGGGUCAGCCUGGGGGUCACCAGUGGGGUCAACAGUUUAACUACUGGUAUCACAGAGAUGAAGGUCAAUAGCAUCCAUGAGAAGAAAGCUAGAGAAGUCUUCCAGAGUUUCAUGGAGGACGUGGAGAGUCUCCAGGAGUGUCUGGAGGAUGUGGCCAUGAAUAUGGAGCCCAUCUUGGGGCAGAGCAGGGUGAACAUGGUUGGAGCAAGGAAGGUGAUUGCCACCACUUGGACCAUCGGAAAACACAUUGACUCCCUAGUUGACCUUUCCUCAGGUUUUAAGUCAGCAGAAGUCCUUAGAAACAAAGAUCUGAUCACAAGCGCUGGUAAGUUGGCGCUCCACGAAGGCAAAGUAGCACAAAACCUGCCCAAGCUAGUCGAGGACAUCCCGGAAUUUGGACAGCUGGCAAAAGGCACCCGACUAGCCCUCUCCAAGUCAGCGCGGGCUGGCCUCAUCACCCUCAACGUCCUCUUCAUUGGCCUGGAUGUCUUCUUCAUCUGUAAAGACAGCGUCAGCCUGGCCAAAGGCAGCAGUAGUGAGAGAUCCCAGCUCAUCCGUGCCAGAUCAGCGUUGUGGCGCACAGAGAUGGACUCCUGGCAGAGGAUCCAUGACUCGCUGUGUAGAGGUCUAUUAACAUUUGAGAAAAGUCAGAUCAUCCUGGAGCAGCCAUUUUAUCCUCUGGAGGAGAAGCUGAGAGGGAAGAAAUCGAUGUGUAUGACGCAGUAGGACAAUAUAAAUGACUUAACAGUCUUUGAAGUUAGGGCCUCUCAAACAUACUGUACCGUGGCACUUAGAAUGUUCAGAAAGUAAAAAGUAAAAAUAAAGAGGUGAUACACUUUU